ensembl:snRNA U2 U2 spliceosomal RNA
AUAUUUUCAAACAAAAAAAAAAUCUGUUCUUAUCAGUUUAAUAUCUGAUACGUCCCCUACCCGGGGACCAUAUAUUAAAUUGAUUUUUGGAACUGGGAGAUGGAAAAGGGGCUUGCCCCGUCCACUCCACGCAUCGACCUGGUAUUGCAGUACCUCCAGGACCGGUGCACCCCUC